GUGCUCAUUUUGGCAUCAUAUAUAUUAAAAUUAGAACAAUACAGAAUAGAUAGGCAUGGCCCCUGCACCAGGAUGACAUGAAAAUUCAUAAUGUAAGUAGCUAACAAAAUUCUU
rfam:Canis lupus familiaris chromosome 27, whole genome shotgun sequence.